rnacentral:lncRNA from 1 species
GUUGCACUUCUUGAACCAUUAAUCAGUGACAUACUCAAUGCUGCAUACGUGCCCCUCAUCAAUGGUGCCCUGGAGGUGGGAAUUCCUCUGCCUAAUCUUCUCAACCUGAAGUGGGAGAAUGGUCUUGUCAAAGUCAUUAAUAACGCUCUAUCGGUUAACGCGCUGGCCUAACCCUCCCACAAGGGGCGAGUGUUGGGGACAGCCCGGGGAUGAAGGAGAGAAUUCACGACUGAAGAACCCUGCACUUCCUUCCUUUUGUUCCCCCUGACACUUUGAGUCAAGGCUAUGACGAUAGAAACAAAAUGUUGUUCUGCUUCUGAUCAUUGAAUCAAGCUGUAGAAAAGACUUAGUAGGAAUGAAAUUGUUGCUUAAUU